AGUGAACGCUGGCGGUAGGCCUAACACAUGCAAGUCGAACGGCAGCACAGUAAGAGCUUGCUCUUACGGGUGGCGAGUGGCGGACGGGUGAGGAAUACAUCGGAAUCUACUUUUUCGUGGGGGAUAACGUAGGGAAACUUACGCUAAUACCGCAUACGACCUACGGGUGGAAGCAGGGGAUCUUCGGACCUUGCGCGAUUGAAUGAGCCGAUGUCGGAUUAGCUAGUUGGCGGGGUAAAGGCCCACCAAGGCGACGAUCCGUAGCUGGUCUGAGAGGAUGAUAAGCCAAAAUGGAACUGAGACACGGUCCAGACUCCUAAGGGAGGCAGAAGUGGGGAAUAUUGGACAAUGGGCGCAAGCCUGAUCCAGCCAUACCGCGUGGGUGAAGAAGGCCUUCGGGUUGUAAAGCCCUUUUGUUGGGAAAGAAAAGCAGCAGGUUAAUACCCCGCUGUUCUGACGGUACCAAAAGAAUAAGCACCGGCUAACUUCGUG
rnacentral:rRNA from 1 species